CGUUGGUAGUCCAGUUUUUAGCGUCCGCCCGGCUGGACAGCCGUGGCUUCCUCCCUGAGGCAAGGCCGUAGCUCUCCCCCUUGGCGAUCAGGCAAGCCUCGCGGCUGGAUCUGGCGAGUGCAAAAAUAAAAGGGCUCAAGCCGUAGACGCAUUGAAGGUCACGUCUCGACCAGACGGCGGCAGAGAUUCAUGCACUUUUAGAUGGAUCAGGUGCAGCAAGGAAUCAGGGGACUUGCUAGGUGUUCGGUUCCAGAUCGGCGUCAAUAGGCAAGGCAGGAGGCACACGCGCACUGCAAUCGCGGUCUGCGCCAGCCAUCGUCAUUCAUCAUCGUGUUUGACUUGAACCGCUACUGAUCCAAUCAGGAAGCUACUGGGCAUCAGGCUACAACAAAAUCGAUUUCCUCUAACUGGGUCCAGUACAAUGGAUGGUUGUUCCCCUCUUGGUGACGUCACAAACACUUGCAACCGUCGCAAGCGACAAAACCCCGAAGGGUCUAAUAUUCAAGAUAACAAUCAUGGUGUUAUCGCCGGAGAAGAUCUUGAUAAGAGGGAACUUAAACGCAGAAGAAGGCAAGGGAGAAAUAUGCAAGCUUACUAGCUGAAAAAAAAGGCAUAACUUAAUGCUAAGAGGAGGAAAAGCUACCAUCGGAAGAAAGCCGAGAGAGCAGUUGCUAACACCAUUAUAGGAUCUCCAGGUGUGACGUCCUUGCUGAACCAAACAGGUACAAACAAUGUUAUUUUUCGAAAAGAAUGAGAUGGUGAGCAAUGGAACGACGGAUGAUUUUGAUAAUAGUUGGCUGCGUCGUAACAUUCUUUUGAAAGGAUACAGA